UCGUACAUGGGGCUAUAAUUUAUGAAACUGAGCCCCAGAUCCAGCCAAUCAGUUAGCUCCUCAUAACAAGUCUAACUGGCUCUGGAAAGCUGAAAGGGCUGCACUAGAACAACAAGGAUGAGAUAUUCCACACAAUCCUCUGCUUAACCGGAAUCACUUUUCCCUGCGAGGUCAGAGAAAAAUCACAGCUUCGCUGUCAGAGGGAAGGAGUGCAGAUGACCUGGAAAAAUGUGACCAGAUCUGGAGCAA
ensembl:misc_RNA